AUACGGAGGGUGCAAGCGUUAUCCGGAAUCAUUGGGUUUAAAGGGUCCGUAGGCGGGCAAUUAAGUCAGAGGUGAAAUCCCACAGCUCAACUGUGGAACUGCCUUUGAUACUGAUUGUCUUGAAUUUUAGUGAAGUAGAUAGAAUAUGUAGUGUAGCGGUGAAAUGCAUAGAUAUUACAUAGAAUACCGAUUGCGAAGGCAGUCCACUAACUAACAAUUGACGCUAAUGGACGAAAGCGUGGGGAGCGAACAGGAUUAGAAACCCUAGUAGUCC
rnacentral:rRNA from 1 species